CCCUCCUUUAUUUUUAUUUUUAAUUCCAAGUUUCUAACCCUAAUUCUAACUCUAAGAGAGGCGCCGCUCCCUCACUCCUUUUUUUUCAAAUCUGAUAGUACUUCUCUUCUCCAGAAUCUCCACACCGCGCGCCGCCUCUGCACUGGUCCAUCUUCUCCGCCGCGAGUUCGCGACGUCGCCCGUCGCCCAGCUUCUCCGCCGCGGCGUCGCUCUCUCCCCCAUCUGCUACUGUUGUCGUCUGGCGUCUACUACAGCUCCGCCAUUUUCUGUCCCUGUUUCACUCGCUCAUCGUCGUACCGCCUCGUACCGGACGGUCGUCUGCUUUCGCCUCCGUCUUGUGCUACGGCCGUCUGCUAUCGCCACCAUCGAGUAGCAGCCUAGCAGGACGAAGGAGAACCUUUUUAUGUGGCGCCACUUAAUUUACAAGCUUGGUGGAAUAUUGGGUGAAAGAUUGGGUUCUUGACAUUUGUUCUAUUAUCAUGUUAUUUUGAUGAAUUUGAAACUUUUCGUAAUGUAUGCACUAGAUGGAUAUUGUUGAUUUUACAAACUGUUGAAUUUGUGGCUUA